rnacentral:siRNA from 1 species
UCAAGUGGAUGCUUCUUGGGUAGC